ACUCAAAUGAAUUGACGGGGACCCGCACAAGCGGUGGAACAUGUGGUUUAAUUCGAUGCUACGCGAAGAACCUCACCAGGACUUGACAUACAGGAAGUAGUGAACUGAAAGGGGAACCACCCGUAAAGUCGGGAGCCUGUACAGGUGCUGCAUGGCUGUCGUCAGCUCGUGUCGUGAGAUGUUGGGUUAAGUCCCGCAACGAGCGCAACCAUUACCCCAUGUUGCUAAUGUGUUUGAGCCUUAAAACUUAAAUGCAUGCACUCUUGGGGGACUGCCUGGGAUAACCAGGAGGAAGGUGGAGAUGACGUCAAGUCAGUACGGCCUUUAUGUCCUGGGCUACACACGUGUUACAAUGGCUGGUACAAAGGGUUGCCAACCCGCGAGGGGGAGCUAAUCUCAAAAAACCAGCCUCAGUUCGGAUAGAAGUCUGCAAUUCGACUUCUUGAAGCCGGAAUCGCUAGUAAUGGAAGAUCAGCUCGCUUCCGUGAAUACGUUCCCGGGUCUUGUACACACCGCCCGU
rnacentral:rRNA from 1 species